UAGAGGAAGUAAAAGUCGUAACAAGGUUUCCGUAGGUGAACCUGCGGAAGGAUCAUUAUUGAAUAAACCUGAUGUGACUGUUAGCUGGCUUUUCGAAGCAUGUGCUCGUCCGUCAUCUUUAAUCUCUCCACCUGUGCACAUUUUGUAGUCUUGGAUACCUCUCGAGGCAACUCGGAUUUUAGGAUCGCCGUGCUGUAAAAGUCAGCUUUCCUCUCAUUUCCAAGACUAUGUUUUUAUAUACACCAAAGUAUGUUUAAAGAAUGUCAUCAAUAGGAACUUGUUUCCUAUAAAAUUAUACAACUUUCAGCAACGGAUCUCUUGGCUCUCGCAUCGAUGAAGAACGCAGCGAAAUGCGAUAAGUAAUGUGAAUUGCAGAAUUCAGUGAAUCAUCGAAUCUUUGAACGCACCUUGCGCUCCUUGGUAUUCCGAGGAGCAUGCCUGUUUGAGUGUCAUUAAAUUCUCAACCUUCCAGCUUUUAUUAGCUUGGUUAGGCUUGGAUGUGGGGGUUGUGGGCUUCAUUAAUGAGGUCAGCUCUCCUUAAAUGCAUUAGCGGAACUUUUGUGGACCGUCUAUUGGUGUGAUAAUUAUCUACGCCGUGGAUGUGAAGCAGCUUUAUGAAGUUCAGCUUCUAAUCGUCCAUUGACUUGGACAACUUUUGACAAUUUGACCUCAAAUCAGGUAGGACUACCCGCUGAACUUAAGCAUAUCA
rnacentral:rRNA from 1 species